rnacentral:rRNA from 1 species
UACGUAGGGUGCAAGCGUUGUCCGGAAUUAUUGGGCGUAAAGCGCACGUAGGCGGAUUUGUAAGUCAGGGGUGAAAUCCCGGGGCUCAACCCCGGAACUGCCUUUGAUACUGCGAAUCUCGAGUCCGGAAGAGGUGAGUGGAAUUCCUAGUGUAGAGGUGAAAUUCGUAGAUAUUAGGAAGAACACCAGUGGCGAAGGCGGCUCACUGGUCCGGUACUGACGCUGAGGUGCGAAAGCGUGGGGAGCAAACAGG